GAUUGCGAGGGCGAAGAGCAGGCUGCGACAUCUGUCACCCCCUUGAUCGCUAGGAUUGAUUUGGCUCAUCUGGCUGACUAGGCGGGUGUCCCCUUUCCCCCUCACUACUCCAUGUGUGUCCCUCCCGAAGCUGUGUUCUCUGUCAAAGAGGAUGGUCUUCCCCGAAUAGAGAUGGACUGGUCUUUGGUCGAGGGUAGCUGUGCUCCCCUGCUAUAACCUCCAAACAAGCUCUUAAGGUCCCUGUGUAGGAGCUCGUAGGGUAGUCAAGCUUCCCAGACUCCAGACACCUCCAAAUGAGGCACUUCAUGUGGCAGUCUGCCUUUCUUU
ensembl:misc_RNA 7SK 7SK RNA